CUCAUUAAAUCAGUUAUAGUUUAUUUGAUGGUCUCUUUGUUCUUCUUUUUACCUACUUGGAUAACCGUGGUAAUUCUAGAGCUAAUACAUGCGCAAGGUCCCGAGCGCGGAGAGUGGGGCUUCACGGCCUCGUCCUCGCAUGCGCAGAGGGAUGUAUUUAUUAGGUUAAACAACCAGCAUCUUUUCAUUUCUGGUGAUUCAUAGUAACUCUUUCGGAUCGCAUUCAUG
rnacentral:rRNA from 1 species